rnacentral:rRNA from 1 species
ACUCAAAUGAAUUGACGGGGGCCCGCACAAGCAGCGGAGCGUGUGGUUUAAUUCGAGGCUACACGAAGAACCUUACCUAGCCUUGACAUGGCGCUGAACGAGGAUGAAAGUCUGAGGUUCGCAAGACAGCGUCACAGGUGCUGCAUGGCUGUCGUCAGCUCGUGCCGUGAGGUGUUAGGUUAAGUCCUGUAACGAGCGCAACCCCCGGGUCCAGUUACACGUGUCUGGACCGACUGCCCGUGACAAGCGGGAGGAAGGUGGGGAUGACGUCAAGUCAGCAUGGCCUUUAUGGCUAGGGCUACACACACGCUACAAUGGUCGGUACAAUGGGUUGCCAAGCCGCAAGGCGGAGCCAAUCCACCAAAGCCGAUCUCAGUUCGGAUUGUGGGCUGCAACCCGCCCACAUGAAGUCGGAGUUGCUAGUAACCGCCGGUCAGCCAUACGGCGGUGAAUACGUUCCCGGGCCUUGUACACACCGCCCGU